AGAAAUUUGUUCAGUUUUGGUUAGACCUAGCAUUGUGGUGAAACCUCAGCUGCGUCAAAACCCUAGUCGAGAACUCUGGCUCCAGCGAGCUGCUACCGCACUCGAAUGACGGAUGGCUCGCUUGACGAUCUUCCCCUCUCUUAUCAUCUGGAGGAUGACGCCAACAACCUUGCGCGCGAUGACCUGUCCCACCAUGCCCUCCGAGACGGCGCGUGGGGAGAAGGAGGAGUCCAGCCCCAGGCCGCGGAUGUAGGAGUGCGCACCCACGCGCUCGAUUCGGGUCAGGUCACAGCUUUCCGAGAGUCUCAGCUCUGCCAUGGCUGCGACGACAAUAAGAGGGGUUUUGUUUAGGGUUUUGAGGGUUUCGUUUGGUUUGGACUUUGGAGUGUGCUUGUUUGUGAAGUUAUGGUGUGACUGUCUUUUCUGGUUAGAUGAUGGCAUGUGUUGGUUGCGGGACUAUAGUGUAUGUGAAUUCCCAGAAAGUGAGUUCUCCAGAUCAUUUAAGAAGCCCUAUCGCUUAUCACUGAAUGAUCUUAUUUUUCAAUAAGGAAAUCCUUAGGAAGCUAUUGACUGUACUUUUGAUAAUAAAGCUUUCAGAAGAUGUUCUAAAA